AGAGCUUGCUCUUAUGACGUUAGCGGCGGACGGGUGAGUAACACGUGGGCAACCUGCCUCGUAGACUGGGAUAACACCGAGAAAUCGGUGCUAAUACCGGAUGACUUCUUUCUCCGCAUGGAGAAAGGAUAAAAGUUGGUUUUGCUAACACUACGAGAUGGGCCCGCGGCGCAUUAGCUAGUUGGUAAGGUAAGAGCUUACCAAGGCGACGAUGCGUAGCCGACCUGAGAGGGUGAUCGGCCACACUGGGACUGAGACACGGCCCAGACUCCUACGGGAGGCAGCAGUAGGGAAUCUUCCGCAAUGGACGAAAGUCUGACGGAGCAACGCCGCGUGAGUGAUGAAGGUUUUCGGAUCGUAAAGCUCUGUUGUUAGGGAAGAACAUGUACCGUUCGAAAGGGCGGUACCUUGACGGUACCUAACGAGAAAGCCACGGCUAACUACGUGCCAGCAGCCGCGGUAAUACGUAGGUGGCAAGCGUUGUCCGGAAUUAUUGGGCGU
rnacentral:rRNA from 2 species